rnacentral:rRNA from 1 species
UACGUAGGCAGCAAGCGUUGUUCGGAGUUACUGGGCGUAAAGGGUGUGUAGGCGGCCUUCUAAGUUUGGUGUGAAAUCUCCCGGCUCAACCGGGAGGGUGCGCCGAAGACUGGGGGGCUAGAGUGCGGGAUGGGAAAGUAGAAUUCCUGGUGUAGCGGUGAAAUGCGUAGAUAUCAGGAGGAAUACCUGUGGUGUAGACGGCUCUCUGGACCGCAACUGACGCUGAGACACGAAAGCGUGGGUAGCAAACAGG